rnacentral:snRNA from 1 species
AGCUUUGCACAUUAGUGGUAUCAUAGCCAAUGAGGUUUAUCUGAGGCGCAAUUAUUGCUAAUUGAAAACUUUUCCCAAUACCCCACCAUGACGACUUGAAAUACAGUCAGCAUUGGCAAUUUUU